AACGAACGCUGGCGGCAGGCUUAACACAUGCAAGUCAAGCGCCCCGCAAGGGGAGCGGCAGACGGGUGAGUAACGCGUGGGAAUCUACCCAUCUCUACGGAAUAACGCAUGGAAACGUGUGCUAAUACCGUAUACGUCAUUCGGGAGAAAGAUUUAUCGGAGAUGGAUGAGCCCGCGUUGGAUUAGCUAGUUGGUGGGGUAAGGGCCUACCAAGGCGAUGAUCCAUAGCUGGUCUGAGAGGAUGAUCAGCCACACUGGGACUGAGACACGGCCCAGACUCCUACGGGAGGCAGCAGUGGGGAAUAUUGGACAAUGGGCGCAAGCCUGAUCCAGCCAUGCCGCGUGAGUGAUGAAGGCCCUAGGGUUGUAAAGCUCUUUCACCGGUGAAGAUAAUGACGGUAACCGGAGAAGAAGCCCCGGCUAACUUCGUGCCAGCCGCCGCGGUAAUAC
rnacentral:rRNA from 1 species